rfam:Ictidomys tridecemlineatus contig001063, whole genome shotgun sequence.
GGGGAUAUAGCUCAGUUGGUAGAGUGUUUGUCUGCAAGCACAAGGUCCUGGGUUCAAUCCCCAGCACCA